rnacentral:rRNA from 1 species
GUGAGUAAUGUCUGGGAAACUGCCUGAUGGAGGGGGAUAACUACUGGAAACGGUAGCUAAUACCGCAUAACGUCGCAAGACCAAAGAGGGGGACCUUCGGGCCUCUUGCCAUCGGAUGUGCCCAGAUGGGAUUAGCUAGUAGGUGGGGUAACGGCUCACCUAGGCGACGAUCCCUAGCUGGUCUGAGAGGAUGACCAGCCACACUGGAACUGAGACACGGUCCAGACUCCUACGGGAGGCAGCAGUGGGGAAUAUUGCACAAUGGGCGCAAGCCUGAUGCAGCCAUGCCGCGUGUAUGAAGAAGGCCUUCGGGUUGUAAAGUACUUUCAGCGGGGAGGAAGGGAGUAAAGUUAAUACCUUUGCUCAUUGACGUUACCCGCAGAAGAAGCACCGGCUAACUCCGUGCCAGCAGCCGCGGUAAUACGGAGGGUGCAAGCGUUAAUCGGAAUUACUGGGCGUAAAGCGCACGCAGGCGGUUUGUUAAGUCAGAUGUGAAAUCCCCGGGCUCAACCUGGGAACUGCAUCUGAUACUGGCAAGCUUGAGUC